ACGGCCAUACCACAUUGAAAACACCGGUUCUUGUUCGAUCACCGAAGUUAAGCAAUGUCAGGCCCGGUCAGUACUUGGGAGGGUGACCACUUGGGAACACCGGGUGCUGUUGGCU
rnacentral:rRNA from 1 species